rnacentral:ncRNA from 1 species
AAUGAUGUUAUGACCGGGAAGAGUAAAUAUAUUAAUACCAUCAGAGAUAAGCCUCCGUCGGCUGAAAGGGGCUUUUGGGAAUAAUAUAUUGAAGUGCGCCCGUUAGCACCUGUGGUGAAAUAAGUAGCCAUUGGCGGCAAUGCCGUUAAAAGUUUGAGUGAUAAAAAGAGUGGAACCGCGUCAUAUGUCGCCUCUUGC